rnacentral:rRNA from 1 species
GCGUGUGGAUCGGGGCGGGCCUUUCGGCGCUUCUCGAUCUCGGGCCGCGGUGGUUCGUGGAGGCUUCGGUGAUGCCCGGGGUCUACGACGAGGGCUCGGCGGCGACCGAUCUCGGGCACGGGAUCGAGUUCCGCAGCCUGAUCGGCGUCGGCUACACGCUGAACGCGGCGACGCGGCUGUCGCUGGGGUUCGACCACAAGUCGAACGCGGGCCUCGGGGCGCGCAAUCCCGGCGUGAACACGCUGAGCCUGCGGUUGCGGCGCACGUUCUGAGCCGAACGGCUCGCGCCGGUUGCGCGCGGUUUCUUCCAUAUCCGUCCCGAUUGGUCUCCAGUCUUGUGACGGCGUACCUUUUGUAUAAUGGGUCAACGACUUGGUCUUACGAGCAAGCUUAAGCCGAUAGGUGCAGGCGCAGCGAAAGCGAGUCUUAACAGGGCGCAUGAGUUCGUGGGAUCAGACCCGAAACCGAGUGAUCUAGGCAUGUCCAGGAUGAAGGUACGGUAACACGUACUGGAGGUCCGAACCCACACCUGUUGAAAAAGGUCGGGAUGAGGUGUGCCUAGGGGUGAAAGGCCAAUCAAACUCGGAGAUAGCUGGUUCUCCGCGAAAGCUAUUUAGGUAGCGCCUCGGACGAAUACCUUCGGGGGUAGAGCACUGCAUGGAUGAUGGGGGCCCACAGCCUUACUGAGUCUAAGCAAACUCCGAAUACCGAAGAGUACUGUCCGGGAGACAGACGGCGGGUGCUAACGUCCGUCGUCGAGAGGGAAACAACCCUGACCUGCAGCUAAGGCCCCAAAUUCGUGGCUAAGUGGGAAAGCAUGUGGGACGGCCAAAACAACCAGGAGGUUGGCUUAGAAGCAGCCAUCCUUUAAAGAUAGCGUAACAGCUCACUGGUCUAGACAAGCUGUCCUGCGGCGAAGAUGUAACGGGGCUCAAGCCACGAGCCGAAGCUCAGGAUGCACCUUUCGGGGUGCGUGGUAGCGGAGCGUUCCGUGAUGUAAUUCCGCGUCUCUUGUGCACCGCGAGGUGCAUCGGAGACAUGGAGUUCACUGUGAAGCCGGGCCGUGAGGCAUCCGGUGGAGUGAUCGGAAGCGAGAAUGUUGACAUGAGUAGCGACAAAGGGGGUGAGAGACCCCCUCGCCGAAAGUCCAAGGGUUCCUGCUUAAAGUUAAUCUGAGCAGGGUGAGCCGGCCCCUAAGUCGAGGCAGAAAUGCGUAGACGAUGGGAACGGGGUUAAUAUUCCCCGGCCAGGAGGAAGUGACGGAUCUCGAGGGUCGUUCGAUCUUAUCGGAUUGAUCGGGCUGCUUAGAGGUUCCAGGAAAUAGCCCUCCAUCAGACCGUACCCGAAACCGACACAGGUGGACUGGUAGAGAAUACCAAGGCGCUUGAGAGAACGAUGUUGAAGGAACUCGGCAAAAUACCUCCGUAAGUUCGCGAGAAGGAGGCCCGGGUUCAAGGCAACUUGGAUCCGGGGGCACAAACCAGGGGGUGGCGACUGUUUACUAAAAACACAGGGCUCUGCGAAGUCGCAAGACGACGUAUAGGGUCUGACGCCUGCCCGGUGCCGGAAGGUUAAAAGGAGGUGUGCAAGCACCGAAUUGAAGCCCCGGUAAACGGCGGCCGUAACUAUAACGGUCCUAAGGUAGCGAAAUUCCUUGUCGGGUAAGUUCCGACCUGCACGAAUGGCGUAACGACUUCCCCGCUGUCUCCAACAUCGACUCAGCGAAAUUGAAUUGCCUGUCAAGAUGCAGGCUUCCCGCGGUUAGACGGAAAGACCCCGUGCACCUUUACUACAGCUUCGCACUGGCAUCAGGAUCGUGAUGUGCAGGAUAGGUGGUAGGCAUCGAAACCGGGACGCUAGUCUCGGUGGAGCCUCCCUUGAGAUACCACCCUUCGCUGUUCUGAUGUCUAACCGCGGCCCGUUAUCCGGGUCCGGGACCCUGCGUGGCGGGUAGUUUGACUGGGGCGGUCGCCUCCCAAAGCGUAACGGAGGCGCGCGAAGGUUGGCUCAGAGCGGUCGGAAAUCGCUCGUCGAGUGCAAUGGCAGAAGCCAGCCUGACUGCAAGACUGACAAGUCGAGCAGAGACGAAAGUCGGCCAUAGUGAUCCGGUGGUCCCGAGUGGAAGGGCCAUCGCUCAACGGAUAAAAGGUACGCCGGGGAUAACAGGCUGAUGGUGCCCAAGAGUCCAUAUCGACGGCACCGUUUGGCACCUCGAUGUCGGCUCAUCUCAUCCUGGGGCUGGAGCAGGUCCCAAGGGUAUGGCUGUUCGCCAUUUAAAGAGGUACGUGAGCUGGGUUUAGAACGUCGUGAGACAGUUCGGUCCCUAUCUGCCGUGGGUGUAGGAUACUUGAGAGGAGUUGCCCCUAGUACGAGAGGACCGGGGUGAACGUUCCACUGGUGGACCUGUUGUCGUGCCAACGGCAGUGCAGGGUAGCUAUGAACGGACAGGAUAACCGCUGAAGGCAUCUAAGCGGGAAGCCCCCCUCGAAACAAGGUAUCCCAUGAGGGCCGAGGUAGACCACCUCGUCGAUAGGCCGGAGAUGUACGCGCAGCAAUGCGUUCAGUUGACCGGUACUAAUCGCCCGACAGGCUUGAUC